GAUUGAACGCUGGCGGUAUGCUUAACACAUGCAAGUCGAACGGCAGCACAGAUUAUCUUCGGAUAAUUGGGUGGCGAGUGGCGGACGGGUGAGUAAUGCGUAGGAAUCUGCCUUGAAGUGGGGGACAACCUGGGGAAACUCAGGCUAAUACCGCAUAAUAUCUAAGGAAGAAAGCUGGGGACCGAAAGGCCUGGCGCUUUAAGAUGAGCCUACGUCAGAUUAGCUAGUUGGUGAGGUAAAUGCUCACCAAGGCAACGAUCUGUAGCUGUCCUGAGAGGAUGAUCAGCCACACUGGGACUGAGACACGGCCCAGACUCCUACGGGAGACAGCAGUGGGGAAUAUUGGACAAUGGGCGAAAGCCUGAUCCAGCAAUACCGCGUGUGCGAUGAAGGUCUUCGGAUUGUAAAGCACUUUUAAUUAGAAAGAUGGUUGGGACGCUAAUACCGUGACCAAUUGACGUUACUAAUAGAAUAAGCACCGGCUAACUCUGUGCCAGCAGCCGCGGUAAGACAGAGGGUGCGAGCGUUAAUCGAAAUAACUGGGCGUAAAGAGUACGUAGGCGGAAGAAUAAGUUGUGUGUGAAAAACCGGGGCUCAACCUCGGGACUGCAUACGAUACUGUUUUUCUAGAGUUUGGUAGAGGUAAGUGGAAUUCCCGGUGUAGCGGUGAAAUGCAUAGAUAUCGGAAGGAACACCAGUGGCGAAGGCGGCUUACUGGGCCAAUACUGACGCUGAGGUACGAAAGCGUGGGGAGCAAACAGGAUUAGAUACCCUGGUAGUCCACGCCGUAAACGAUGAGAACUAGAUGUUUGGUGACGAAGUCACUGAGUGCCGCAGCUAACGCGUUAAGUUCUCCGCCUGGGGAGUACGGCGCAAGGUUGAAACUCAAAGGAAUUGACGGGGUC
rnacentral:rRNA from 1 species